UUACCUGCUUCUUGAAACCAGUGGAGCUGAGUCAGGUGAAUAAUAACAAAACUUAGGGUUGUUAAUUGGGUUCGUGCAUCCAAAGCUCAAGUCUUAGCAUUUUUAGUCAUUAUGGCUUAUCAAAAGUCUGUUUUCAAAAGAAAAAGAAAAAGCCUAGUAAGUGUAUAAAUGAAAUCCCUAAAAUGAUCUUCUUGUGCCUUAGUUUUGGUGCUGUCUUUUUUCUUAUUGUACUGUGUUCAUAAUUUAUAGGUCUGAUGUAUGAUGAUAUUUUUUGUCCUCCUGACUUUUUGGCUGUGAUGCAGUUGUGAGUGUUG
rnacentral:misc_RNA from 1 species